CCUCGGCGCCUCCUCGUCCGAAAUCCCCAAACAGCAUCCCGCGUACGUGAGAGAGUAUGACUCAAAUUUCCCUCACCUCCAUCUCCAUAUCAUCUGGUGCUCUGGAAUCUGGAUCCAUUACAGCCAUGGGCCUAUGCUAUCUAUUCCUCCAUCUCUUCCUGGCGCCGGAGAGGGGCGGCGGCGGAGGUGGUUCCGGUGGUCUGGGGUAGGCGGCGGCGGCGGCGGUGCAGGUGGUGGCGCAGGCGGUGGCUUUGAGGAGGCUCCGGUGGAGGCUUGGGCAGGACCGCGGGAGGCUUCGCGUUCGUUCUACACAGUGCGGUGCCGAUUGCCUGGACUGGAGGCUGGAUGGCUGGAGCGGAGCCUUGACCUGUGUCAAACGAGAGGAGCUGGCAGAAAAUGGAAUGAGGAGACAGUUACCUGAUAUGGUCGUCUGGGAGAAGACAGACGAAGAGAAGAGAUGUUGCAGCUUGGAGGAGGGUAGGCUGGUGUGCAAUCCUGUUGCCGCCUGUCCUCACGCUAGCAUGGAUGCUCUGUUCUUUACUUAAUUUUUUCUCACCAGCUCUCCGUCCCCGAGUCCUCUGUUUAUCUUCUUUUUAUUGGAGUUGGGGGGGCGGGGGGGCGGGAGGCAUAAGUUUCCUUUUCCCAAUUUGGCACCCUGAUGUGUUGGAUAUUACGAGUACGCGAGUUCCUACACGUGGCUUCAAGGAAUUAUGAUUCCGCGAAGUUGUCAGGUUCAGCAUAUAACACACCGUGUGCUUACCAUCUGGAUACAGGGUUACCACCUCAUCUCAUCCACUCUGAAAGGCUUAGCUGCUCAUCACAUGUGGACUACAUGGUGUUUAGUCCACAUAUAUAAUAAUUUUGGAGAUGUGUAGGCUCCAUGUUGGAUAAUAGAUGUAGCCUGGACAAUACAAGCAUUUUCCCAUCCUCCAAUGCUGUAGUCUCUCUCUUAUGUCUCUUGUGUUUCUAAUCUCUUGCUUGUGUUGGAAUGUCCCUGCAUUAUCACAGGUGACCAUAUGUUAGAGUGGGGAGUGAUGAAGUGGCGGUCCUAGCACGCAUGUGCAUGCAUGUGUCUACGGUCUACCACCCACUUUCUCAUUGUAUCUUUCAACUAGGUAUGAUGUAUCCGGCUUCUUGCUUCUUGUUGGAGAGCGGAGACCUGUAGAGAGAGCUCAUCUCCAUAAUGAGCCAGUGGAAACGAGGAUAUCAUUGUUCUUAAACAUCAUGGAUAAUGGUUCCACAUGGGCAGUACCAUUCAUUUAUGUAUCAUAAUGAUUUUAGUCUCCUAAAAGCAGGUUGAGUAUAUUUCAAAUUCCACCUGUUUAUCGAUCUAAUUUUUGCUGUUUAACUGUUGCCAAAUACUCUCUCCAUCCCAUAUUAAGUGACUUUCUAUUACAUAUAUCUAGACACUUUUUAGGCAUAGAUGCAUCCAUAUUUGGGCAAAUUUGAGUCACUUAAUAUGGGACGGAGGGAGUAUUAAUUUUUUAGGUUUAAAUUCAUAUGGACAACAGUCAGUUUUUAGAUCUUCAAACUAUCAAUGAAUGGGUUCCCUUCUGACUAGUCAUUUUCAGCGAGCUCUUACUUUUUGGAUUCUGUAUUUUUGUGUGGUCUUAUAUAAUUAUAUUCCUUGUUGUUAUGUAGCUUAUGAUCUGCUCUUUGAGCACUCCUGUUCCAAUAUCAGCAGUUUGGAAUCAUUUGUUUGCCCAUAAAGCCACGCCUUUUAUGUUCCUUUUUUGGUAUCAUGGUUCUAUUUGAAAACAUAAUGACAGAUGUUGACACGUUUACAGCAUUUUCUUGUUAUUUAUCUCUUGAUAAAUUAUCUAUAGCAAUUGUUAUCUAAUUUGUUCCUUUACAUGGUUCAUCAGGCAUCUCUUGGACAAGCAGAUAUUUGCUAAACAUAAGGUCCCAACCCCCAGUUGGGCUGUAUGGCCUUUCCUAAAGGAGAUCACAAUCCCGCGCAACUCAGCUUUCGAUGAGGUAGAGAAUUUUAUGAUUCCAGGAAGUUGUCAGGUUCAGCAUACAAUAAACUGUGCUUAGCAUUUGGAUACAGGUUACCACCUCUGCACCUCGUCUCAUCCUUUCUGAAAGGCACGUGGACUACUCCCUCCGUUCAUCCAUGCAUCACAUGUGGACUUGAACUAAAAUCACACAAGAAUUUAGGAACGGAAAGAGUACAUAAUAAUUUUUAAGAUGCGUAGGCCACAUGUUGGAUAUGAGAUGUGGGUCCCUGCAAUGUAAUCUACAUACGAUGGAGCCGCCAAUUGGCUGUGCCGACUGAUGUGCCCAGGCUCCCUGUUCACGUCGCUCUAAAACCAUCCGGAGCCUGAGGGAGCUAGCCCGGUUGGAUCGACGGAUGGUUGCGGUGAGCCCACGAAAACGACCUGGCAUGGUGGGGCUCGGCUAACCGGCCGGCCAUAUCGUGGUGCAGGUGUGGCUCGUCUCGGCUCCUGAUCUUGAUUAGGAUUCGCAGAAAGAAGAAUAAUACAGCCGCAAGCUAAUGGAGAUCACGCUGGCCGUCCGCCCGUCCACGGACUGAACCCACGCAGCAUGUAGGUCAGUAGGUGGUGUCUCCGCGUUGAACUCGAAAAAAGCGGCAGAAAAAUGUAAGUUCGGCACGAAACGAUGGCGCCAACUCGGGAUAUCGCCAAAGGUCUUGGGGUCCAUGGAUCAAUCAUGGUGAUGCUGGUCAAUUGUUACUUAUCUUAAUCACGUCGCCGGUGUUUGUGUUGAGUUGGGGAGGUCGGAAGGCCGUUGAUUACUUCUCAAUUGUUUCUAGUCACCGUUGAUUCAGUCCAUCGCACACAGAUCGUACCUGUUUUGUCGUACGUAAGAUACUUGUGCUACUCCUCCCUGACUUCGCAUUAAUUCUCUGCCACUUAUUAUGGAUUAAAGGGAUUAGAUGGUUUUUUAA